rnacentral:tRNA from 1 species
GUCGUGUUCGUCUAGUGGUUAGGACGCUUGUGGGCGUGACGCUCCGAAACAGAGGUUCGAUUCCUCUACACGGCAC